CUCUAUACCCCUGUCCCCCCUUUCCUAAUUAACUAACCUAAGGUUUUUGCCCAUGGUUUCCAUUUGGUUUGGUCAAAUCUGACCCUGGUCAAUUGCAUUCAAGUUAUGGGCCUAAUUCAUGGUCUGGAGUACAGGCUUAAUUCAGGAGUUUAAGAAUCAAUCUUAAUGUGGACUAUUCAGUAACAACUACCAUAACUUCAGGACUAUAUGAACAUUCAAGAUGAACAAAACAAUCAAAAACCCAAUUGAGUAUGCAGGAACAAUGGCCAAACUAUAACACUUAGUAAAAGACUUAGAAGUAAAAACCAAGAAAUUAAGACAAAGCAAAUAUCACUAGUUACAAUAUUCAGAAAAGCAAUUUAUCCUAACAUGUGCAAAUGCUGGAGAUCGCCAUUACUAGGAACGAAAUAUGACUGAUAUGAAGCUCCUAAAAGAAGACACCUACUGAAAAUCAUGAUAUUACAAAAAUAAGCAUCUAAUAAAGCCAUUGAGAACCUCAGAGGUGAAAUAAAUAUAGAAUCAAGAGACGAGGAUCAACAAACCAUGUAAAAAUUUCAGAAAUGAAACUACUGAAGAGUCAAAAGGCAAAGAUC
rnacentral:lncRNA from 1 species